GUGCCAGUAAUGGUAUGGAUGAAGGAAGUGGUGUAGCAAAGUUCUUGAGCCUACGUACAGAAACUUGAUAAGGCGAUUAGGUGGGUAAAGCUGCAUAACAAACUGAAGCCCGGUUGCUCCACAGCCAAAACAGUAAUAGCGUUCAUCCAGCUUCAUACUGGGGGACUUAUCC
rfam:Clostridium nexile CAG:348 genomic scaffold, scf14